rnacentral:lncRNA from 1 species
GUGCGCGCGUGCGUGCGUGCGUGCGUGCGUGUGUGCGUGUGUGUGUGUGUAUGUGUGUGUGUGUGUGCUAUUAUUAGCAUAUGAGCCAUAGUUAUAUCAAAGAAACUGAGGUUCAGAACUAUUAAUUAUUGUAGGUAAUGCUACAGAGUCUGGUCUAAUAAGCAACUCUGUUCAUUCCAAUUUAGGGCUAUUUUUCUCUGCUGUGAUACUUUGCUGUAUAAAAGAAAUGGCUUCAAUAACCCUGUGAUACUUUGUUGUAUAAAAGAAAUGGCUUCAGUAACCACUCAAGAACUGGAAUUCUAUUGACUGCAAAACUCUUAUAAGGCAGGACUUCUGGGCAUGUCCACAGCAAAUAGAAGACUAAUUACUGGUGUUUCCGCACUAUGAAAUACUCAGCCACUUGGCCUGCUCCUUCAAAGAUGCCAGAUGUUAAGAGACCCAUGUAUCCUCAGAUAUUGGAUUCCCAGCCUGGAGAGAUUCUGUGUCUCAAACCAGCAUCUGACCACUUUGUAUAUUCCUUGGAUUAUUCUACCAAGAAGUGCUUUGGAGAUAGACAUUUGGCUCACAGAAAAGCAUCCUUUGUUUAUAGGCAAACAGGUAUGCAAUAUGAAACUAAAAUAGGAAAUUAUUCUUUGCAUUCAAUGCUAGCUAGUGAUUUAG